rnacentral:rRNA from 1 species
UACGAAGGGGGCUAGCGUUGCUCGGAAUCACUGGGCGUAAAGGGUGCGUAGGCGGGUUUUUAAGUCAGGGGUGAAAUCCUGGAGCUCAACUCCAGAACUGCCUUUGAUACUGAAGAUCUUGAGUCCGGGAGAGGUGAGUGGAACUGCGAGUGUAGAGGUGAAAUUCGUAGAUAUUCGCAAGAACACCAGUGGCGAAGGCGGCUCACCUGGUCCGGUACUGACGCUGAGGUGCGAAAGCGUGGGGAGCAAACAGG